CCUUUCGUCCGUCAUCAUUCGGUAGCUGAUCUCGUUGUGUAGUGGAACAACAGUGCUAGCGAUUUCAGCUGAAAUUACAUUUGAGUGCAAAUCUGCAAGUGUAUAUAGUAUUAGAAAGCGGUAUUAGUGCCUAACGAUAACAAUGGAUGCGAUGUCAGGUUUGGUCAGAAAGACACUGCCCAACUAUUUGUCCGGAUUGCCCAUUCCGAACACAUUCGGUGGAUGGUUUCGUCUGGGAUUUAAGGACUGGCUCUCGUUGAUCCCGCCGACCGCAGUCGUUGGUGGUUUAGUCUAUAUGUCCUAUCUGGCAUUCUGCCCGGAAGCACGCCCAAAACCAAGCACCAAGGUGAACAAAAAAAUUCGUUUGUCCGAAGGUAAGGUCGUAGACAUGGUCGACAUCGAAGAUAUUGCCGAAAAGGCCGCUUACUGUCGCUGUUGGAAAUCCAAUAAUUGGCCUUACUGCGAUGGAUCCCACGGUGCUCAUAAUAAAGAAUGCCAAGACAAUCUUGGUCCAGUGGUUAUUUCUCGUAAAAAGAAUUAAGCUGACAAAGUCAGCUAUGUUCGUGAUUAAAUAGUGCUUUUUAUAUACCAUGCAUUAAAAAAUAGCUAAGAACUCAUCCAUUUAGCUGCUCACAUAAACGUUUUAGAAAAUCAUCACAUUUGUUCCCGCUAUUAUCAAUUGUUAUUCGUUGAAAAUGGGUAGACCUUGAUUGAACAAUUAAAUACCUAUGGUACGAGCAACCCUUUUCUAAAAUGUCUCGAUCAAAUAUGAAAAGUCUGCAUUACUAGGCAAUAAAAAUGAGGAAUCGUAUGUUUUGGUAUUGUUAUCUGCGAAAAAAGAAUCACGUUUUGAA